rnacentral:rRNA from 1 species
GACGUAGGGGCCAGCGUUGUUCGGAAUUACUGGGUGUAAAGGGUUCGUAGGCGGUGCGGCAAGUUGGGAGUGAAAUCUCUGGGCUUAACCCAGAGGCUGCUUCCAAACUGCUGUGCUUGAGUGUGGGAGAGGCGCGUGGAAUUGCAGGUGUAGCGGUGAAAUGCGUAGAUAUCUGCAGGAACACCCGUGGCGAAAGCGGCGCGCUGGACACUACUGACGCUGAGGAACGAAAGCUAGGGGAGCAAACAGG